ACGACCGUUGGUGAAGGAGGACGAAGUGGUUGUUGUAAAUCUCGUGAAUGCACGUAGUCAGGUAAGCACAUUUCUGUUCGCACGUCCUGUUGUUUGCGAUUUGAGCGUGUGUGCACCAUAUACCUGGUUUUUGUUCAACUUAUAGGACACCAGUAAAUCGUGGCACGCGUUUGCUGUGAAGCGUCUCCCUAGUUCAGAUCUCAUGCGUCCUGGCUCGUAGGGUCAUCAAGGCGCUCUUAUUGUAAUGUGUCGUUGCCCUUGUGUUUUUAACUCUUAUGGGCUACGUUGACCACUGUAGACAUGUACAUGAAGCGGGCAGAAUACCGUGCUGUCAUGCAUUAUGUGUGUACACGGCGGCGAACUAUGCAACACUCAGAUGUCACGGAUGUUUGGAACGUUACAAGAACACACCAGGACGGUCGCCUCGAAUCAAUUUGCUCUCCGAAACCACGAAAGUAUGUCACGUCCAUUCGUGCUCCCGUCUGUUCACUACAAAUAUAGAGGUACUGUCACAUAUGAAGCAGCACAUACGAGAGGGCCAUGAUCAGAUAUCCUUAUGAACGCUGCCAGAAGAAGUUCCGUGCCGUCUCCGCGUUUUCUGUGCACCUUCUUAUGUUCUUCCUUUGAAACAAUAAAACGGUGAGUAUAAUUUCCUUUCUCUUUACAGGGUUUUGAUGCCAGAGCUGACUGAUGGGUGCACAUGGUUCCCUCGUAUGUUCUUCCAUUGAAAAAAUAAACGCGUCUUGAUGCCAGAGCUGACUGACGGGUGCACAUGGUUCAUUCGUAUGCUCUUCCUUUGAAAAAAUAAAUGGGUUUUGAUGCCACAGGUGACUAGCGCAUUUUCAUCACUAUGUACAUAGAAAAUAAAUCCCAAU